CAAUGAGACAUGCGCUGACCUUGCCACCAAAUGACAAGUUACGUCACGCUCUAGAUAAGGCUUGUUGUGUCUGGACGUAAAUUCACAAAAAGGAACGAUGCGUGUAGGAGUUUAACCAUGUUACAGACUUGCUGUGGUUCAUUCCAUGAUCUCCAUUGCAUCAUCGUCGGAAUAUUUCUCUAUCGACAGCAGAAUGAUUUGAACACAAUGAAAGUAAGACGGUUUGCUCGAUCUAUCCCGUAUCGGGAUCUAUCCCUUAUCUAUCGAUCCCUAUCGGCACGAUGUUGAUGGAGGGGAGGUAACUCCUACAUUCCUACUGAAAACGGUCGAGAUGGCUUUGAUGUGAGCAGCACAACUAAUUGAAGCCAUAGAAGCACAUGCCGAAUAACAACAUUACCGUGAACAUAUGAGGAGGAAGCUCUAAAGACCCACACAUUCCAAAGUGUUUACAUCUGCAUGUAAUGGGAAUAGAUGCUCGUCAAUCUCAAUGCAUGUUUAUAUUGCGUCCUGUCAUCUUGUCUGUUGUAGUGUGGUCAUGGAGGUGUAGCAAUGGAGGUGUAGCAACUCGAUGAAUUGAAGCCUCAUCCAGAAGUUCCUUAUAGGUAAUACAUCAUUGCACUAUAUUUAUUUAUCUACCCAGAUACCAAAACAUUGUCAUCUGGUCCAAAUGUUGCCAGGUAAAUGAAAAUGAAUAGUAUUGAAUGUAGGGCCAUGACAAGUGAAUAUUCUUGGGAAUUGACAUUUCAUUUGAGAUGGUCUUGUGGGGUUUUUAUGAGACAUCAUUAAGAAACAUUUGUGAAAUUUCUUCUGGAUAUUAAAAAACUUUUACGAAAUAUCAAGAGACUUUUUUUAACACCUAGCUUUAUUAUUGUCUAUACCAGAAAUGCACGAAGAACAUUGAAUGAAAUUUGUCUCACGACUCCUUUUCCACCAGAGGACACUGAAACACACAAAGUGUCAAUCGACAACUGUACAGUACUCAGUUUUAUAGGAAUGAUGGAUUUGAUGAUGCAAUGUAUAGAAAUCUCUAUGAAGUGGAUAACAAGGUUUACAUUAUUGACUAUUUGCUGCAGGAUUACAGAGAUUCUUGUGCUUGGUUUAUAUAUGUAGUAAGACUCAUAGGUAAACAUGGCAGUAGUUUAUAUUUUCAAUAAAACGCUGUUGCCUGAAAGUUACCCCGUCACUGUGUGUUUGUAAAUAUUGGUAGCUACAAUUAUGAUAUGGUGAUAUCCGAUGAGAUGAUGUUGGCGUGGUAUCUUCCUCACUAAGCAAAAGACAUCUAAGCUUUUUUCACGUCUGCAACUACAAGUCAAGCAACAUUCCAAAGUUUGUACACUCGCGUGUGAUGUACUGGAGCACUCAAAUCGUACCGGAGUAGCCCAUCGCGAAAGUAAAACUUGGCUGAUUUAGUUGCCCGAAGUAUUGCAGAUGAUAUUGUUUUACGGAUAUGUAAAUUGGUAAAUGAGUCAAUGUCUUGAUUAGAUUGGAAGUAAUGCGAUUAUUACAAAAGCUUCAAUAAUGAUGAACGGUAAUUAAAUUGAAAUUUGACUCAU